rnacentral:rRNA from 1 species
UGCAGUCGAGCGGCAGCGGGGCAUCCCUUGCUAUUUUUGCCGGCGAGGGGCGAACGGGUGAGUAAUGCCUGCCUGCGUGCCCGGUAGAGGGGGAUAACUAGUGGAAACAUUUGCUAAUACCGCAUACGCCCUACGGGGGGGAGUGGGGGACCUUCGGCCUCAUGCUAUUGGAUGAGCCCAUGUCGGAUUAGCUAUUUGGUGGGGUAACGGCUCACCAAGGCGACGAUCCCUAGCUGGUCUGACACGAUGAUCAGCCACACUGCCCACUGACACACGGCCCAGACUCCUACGGGAGGCAGAGUGGGGAAUUUUGGACAAUGGGGGAAACCCUCAUGCAGCGAUGCCGCCUGUGUGUUAAGGCCUUCGGGUUGUAAAGCACUUUCGGCGAGGAGGAUUGUAUCUGGCUAAUACCUGGUGGCUAUGACGUUACCCGCAGAAUAAUCACCGGCUAACUACGUGCCAGCAUCCGCGGUAAUACGGAGGGUGCAUUCGUUAAUCUGAAUUACUGGGCGGCAAGCGUGCGCAGGCGAUUGGAAUACAUAGAUGUGAAAAUCCCAGGCUCAACCUGGAAAGUGUAUUGAUAACUGUCCAGAUGGAGAGUGAUAUAGGGGUGUACAAUUCCCACGUCUAACAUAUAUAUUUUAAUAAAGAUGG